GACGUAGGGGGCCAGCGUUGCUCGGAAUUACUGGGGGUAAAGGGUUCGUAGGCGGUGUGGCAAGUCGGGAGUGAAAUCUCUGGGCUCAACCCAGAGUCUGCUUCCGAAACUGCCGUGCUUGAGUGUGGGAGAGGCGCGUGGAAUUGCAGGUGUAGCGGUGAAAUGCGUAGAUAUUGGGAGGAACACCAGUGGCGAAGGCGGCUCACUGGACCGGAACUGACGCUGAGGCGCGAAAGCGUGGGGAGCAAACGGG
rnacentral:rRNA from 1 species